AGGGGUGUGGCUCAGUGGCACAGUACCUGCCUGGCAUGCAGGAGGCCCUGGGUUCAAUCCUCAGUAUGCCAA
rnacentral:tRNA from 1 species